rnacentral:lncRNA from 1 species
CAUGCUCAUUUGAUUUUCUUUUCUCUUCUUUCUUUUCUCGUGUAAUAAAAAUCCUUAAUCUGGACAAACAUUCUCGUCAUAAUGCUGUCGAACGUUGCUAACGUCGAUGUAUUUGCGGAAAACGCACUUUAGCGUAUCAAACCAUCGUACUUUAGCGUAGGCCGUCGCACUUUAGCGUGACCAUCGCAUUUUAGCGUCCCUAUCGCACUUUAGAGU